rnacentral:rRNA from 1 species
GACUGGCGGCGUGCUUACACAUGCAAGUCGAGCGGAAAGGCCCUUCGGGGUACUCGAGCGGCGAACGGGUGAGUAACACGUGAGUAACCUGCCCCUGACUCUGGGAUAAGCCUGGGAAACCGGGUCUAAUACCGGAUAUGACACUCCUCCGCAUGGUGUGGGUGUGGAAAGUUUUUUCGGUUGGGGAUGGGCUCGCGGCCUAUCAGCUUGUUGGUGGGGUGAUGGCCUACCAAGGCGACGACGGGUAGCCGGCCUGAGAGGGCGACCGGCCACACUGGGACUGAGACACGGCCCAGACUCCUACGGGAGGCAGCAGUGGGGAAUAUUGCGCAAUGGGCGGAAGCCUGACGCAGCGACGCCGCGUGGGGGAUGACGGCCUUCGGGUUGUAAACCUCUUUCAGCAGGGACGAAGUUGACGUGUACCUGUAGAAGAAGCGCCGGCUAACUACGUGCCAGCAGCCGCGGUAAUACGUAGGGCGCGAGCGUUGUCCGGAAUUAUUGGGCGUAAAGAGCUCGUAGGUGGCUUGUUGCGUCUGCCGUGAAAGCCCGUGGCUUAACUACGGGUCUGCGGUGGAUACGGGCAGGCUAGAGGCUGGUAGGGGCAAGCGGAAUUCCUGGUGUAGCGGUGAAAUGCGCAGAUAUCAGGAGGAACACCGGUGGCGAAGGCGGCUUGCUGGGCCAGUUCUGACGCUGAGGAGCGAAACG